GAUGAAGAACGCAGCGAAAUGCGAUAAGUAAUGUGAUUUGCAGAAUUCAGUGAAUCAUCGAAUCUUUGAACGCACAUUGCGCCCGCCAGUAUUCUGGCGGGCAUGCCUGUUCGAGCGUCAUUUCAACCAUCAAGCCCCCGGCUUGUGUUGGGGACCUGCGGCUGCCGCAGGCCCUGAAAAGCAGUGGCGGGCUCGCUGUCACACCGAGCGUAGUAGCAUACAUCUCGCUCUGGGCGUGCUGCGGGUUCCGGCCGUUAAACCACCUUCAUAACCCAAGGUUGACCUCGGAUCAGGUAGGAAGACCCGCUGAACUUAAGCAUAUCAAUAAGCGGAGGA
rnacentral:misc_RNA from 1 species